AUCAUCACCAGCUUCUUUCGCCACAAAUCUUAAGAAAUAAAUUUUUUUUUUUAAAUAUAGAGACUGUUACAUCUUGGAAUCUGGGUCUUUUGAGUUUUUGCCCAGGGCCGUGCUGACAGCGUGAAAACCUGUAUUAGCAGGAAAAUUUUAUAGAAAAAGCAUGGCAAGUGUUGGUGGUGGUGGUUCGAAUUUUUCUGUUUCGCUCCAAAGCCAACGAGGUCCUUCUACUUCUCCGCCUCUUGAUGCCUUUUUCCUUACUGGGUCUUCUCCUUCCUUCCUAGGCUCAAGAUCCAUGGUGAGCUUUGAGG
rnacentral:misc_RNA from 1 species